rnacentral:rRNA from 1 species
UGGGGAAUUUUGCGCAAUGGGCGAAAGCCUGACGCAGCAACGCCGCGUGGGUGAUGAAGGUCUUCGGAUCGUAAAACCCUGUCGUCGAGGACGAAGGUCGUGUUGUUAAUAGCAAUGCGUCUUGACGGUACUCGGAGAGGAAGCCCCGGCUAACUCUGUGCCAGCAGCCGCGGUAAUACAGAGGGGGCAAGCGUUAUUCGGAAUUAUUGGGCGUAAAGGGCGCGUAGGCGGUUUGUUAAGUCAGAUGUGUAAUCCCCGAGCUCAACUUGGGAACUGCAUCUGAGACUGGGAGACUAGAGUACUGGAGAGGGUGGUAGAAUUCCACGUGUAGCGGUGAAAUGCGUAGAGAUGUGGAGGAAUACCAGUGGCGAAGGCGGCCACCUGGACAGUAACUGACGCUGAGGCGCGAAAGUGUGGGUAGCAAACAGG